AUACGUAGGGUGCGAGCGUUGUCCGGAAUUACUGGGCGUAAAGAGCUCGUAGGUGGUUUGUCGCGUCGUCUGUGAAAUUCCGGGGCUUAACUCCGGGCGUGCAGGCGAUACGGGCAUAACUUGAGUACUGUAGGGGAGACUGGAAUUCCUGGUGUAGCGGUGAAAUGCGCAGAUAUCAGGAGGAACACCGGUGGCGAAGGCGGGUCUCUGGGCAGUAACUGACGCUGAGGAGGGAAAGCAUGGGUGGCGAACAGGAUUAGAUACCCUGGUAGUCCAUGCCGUAAACGGUGGGCGCUAGGUGUAGGGGUCUUCCACGACUUCUGUGCCGUAGCUAACGCAUUAAGCGCCCCGCCUGGGGAGUACGGCCGCAAGGCUAAAACUCAAAUGAAUUGACGGGG
rnacentral:rRNA from 1 species